CACCUCUCAUCUAUAAGCAGAGCAAAGACUCUCCCAGCUGUCUCACAUCACUCAUCAGUGAAGUGGGCACUAAUUAGAUAAACACAUGCAGCUGUGGCAGCUCUUAUUGCCAUGCACCUGCGAGCACCACGUCUGGUAGUUGCUGUGGUUGCUCUUGCUAGAAGGUGGGAGAAGUUCUUCUGGUCUGCGUAAGCUGUCCCAUAACUGGGAACCUCUAUACCUUGGUUUUCUGUGGGUGAAGGGUGUUGUGAGCUCAGGAGGUGCCCCUGCAAGCAGUGGAGUAAAAGGUUCUGGAGAAAGUCUUGCUGACCCUGUAGGAUGUGAAAGACCAAUAAACUGUCAUUGUGCGAAGUGUCUUCUGUCUUCAUUUUGAACAGAGGAUGCAUCUGAAGGAGGUCUGAACCUUGAGAAAAAGGGGAGCUCGUUACUGACCGAGAGCUGCUGUGAGCAUGGACCUCUGCCAUUCCCUGGAUCAGUCCCAGAGUAAUCUCUUGUUGAACAGAUGUGGUGUGGUGUUAGCACUGGUUUUGAACCGAACCUAAAUCCAGCCUGCUUUCUUUGUUAUUACUGGGGGGUGAUCUAUUUUCUUUGCUUGCUGUCUCGGAGCUCUCUCUGGAAAAAAAUUGAUGAUGGGGAUGUGUUCCUGGUCUUUCUUUCUCUGUCAAGCUGUCGGUUUCAUCAGCUCAAUUUUUAUGUUCCAGGCUGUGUGUGAACAGUUGUUGAAUGCCUAAUAGUACUUCCCUUUGCCAAGCUAAUCUACUGCUAGUACUUAAAAUUCAACUUCACAUGAAAUCUUUGGCAGCAAAAGAUCUAUGCUCAGUAGAACCUGUGAUAGUCGACAAAGAAUAUUUUGAACUCUAGGCUGUAGUCAGAGCUAUAACUGCAGAGGAAUUAAAUCACAGAUUUCAUCAUCAUGCUUUUUUAAGAGAGAGGAAUUAAUCAUAGAACAUUUGUUUUAAAAAAAAAAUAAAUAUAGAUCAUAGUGACAAGAUCAGAGGGCUCUUCUAGCCAGGCUUCUUAACAGUGAAAAUUAUGUAGGCUAUGGCUUGAAUAUAGAGUGGAAUAUAGCUGUAGCAGUUUGUCUUAAUACUGUUGAGUUGCUGAGAUGGUCAGGUACCUUGUAUUGCAAAGUCUUUGAUAAGUUUAACCCCAUGACAGGAGGCUGAAAUAAUUCCCCUGGACGAGUUAUUGUGCAAGAUGUCAUGACU